GCGCUGUGUUUUUCCAGGUCCGCGCAGGGCCAGGGAAACCCUGCGUGUUUGAUGAGAAUGGAUUACUGGAAAACUAGACGGAAGGUACCCUGAACGUCGAUCCCGACUGUGAGAACACAAAUGUCUGCUGUUUUAAGCCACCCAGCCCUAGGAAAUGCUCACACCCACGAGGCACAGGGCCUUCGGCACAGGAAGCAAGAGACACUCAGCUGCAUUCAGGCAAGAAACUGGAGCUGAGACCAGGAGAUGUCUGCUGUGUGGUUAGCUCAGUAAUCCAAAGCCACACGACAGGGAUGGAAGCCAGCCCUCAGCGUCUCCCUCCCCCAGCCCUUUCCUGGGAAUCGAAUGUGGUCAGCAGAGCCUCUGGAAGUUGGAAUUGUUUGGAGGUAAAUCAGGGCACAGAGAAGCUGGGGCCCCGAGUUAAUUACAGAGGAAAUGACUCUGGUCUGGUGUCUCUGGGGAUGGCUCUUCCAGUUUCCCAGCAUUGCAGCCCCUUGAAAAGUAGGUGGAAAGGGGAGGUUGGUCCUUUCCUGCCUCCCCUCUUCCCACCCCUUUGCCUUUUUCUUGUCGUCCUUCCCCCACACUUCGAUGCUGCUUGUAAAGAUGCUGGAGCUGGCUGCUUGGGUCCUUGACAAUGUGGAAGGCCUGGAAACUUAGAUGGCUGUCCUGGCCACCAAGGUGCUGUCGCCAACAGAGUGCUUCCCUCUUGAUGACUCCCACUGGCUUCCUUGGGUCCUCUGGACCAGGGUGUGGAGCUUUGGUCUCUUUGUUUGGAAACUAUACUCAGGAGAGUUGGUCAUCAUGGUUUUAGGUGUCAGCAGGAGAGAGCAGGAAAGGAGCCCAGGGAGAAGCCACCCAUUUGUCCUUCAAACUCAUAAGGACAAGAGAGGCAGAAAGAGAGGCAGAGACAGUCAUAUGGGGAUGCUACAGUCAUUUCUCCUGAGCAAGUGGUCCAUCAAAAGCUUCCGCGUAUGAGCCAAGGGUUGUCUCCCCUCUCCAGGCACAAGAGAAUGGAAGUAGAAAAUAAAUACUGUGGCUUCUUUAACCUAUGCUCUUCAAGUAUUGCUUGCUGUAAACAGUGUUUGAUUUUUGUUUUCUCUUUAAUUGUAAAAACCAUAGCAGAUUGGAAUGGAAUCUGAAGC